rnacentral:rRNA from 1 species
GACGAACGCUGGCGGCGUGCUUAACACAUGCAAGUCGAACGGAAAGGCGCUGCUUUUGCGGGGUGCUUGAGAGGCGAACGGGUGAGUAACACGUGAGUAACCUGCCCUUGACUUUGGGAUAACUUCAGGAAACUGGGGCUAAUACCGGAUAGGAGCUCCUGCGGCAUGGUGGGGGUUGGAAAGUUUCGGCGGUUGGGGAUGGACUCGCGGCUUAUCAGCUUGUUGGUGGGGUAGUGGCUUACCAAGGCUUUGACGGGUAGCCGGCCUGAGAGCGUGCCCGGCCUCAUUAGUACUACGGUACGGCCCAGACUCCUACGGGAGGCAGCAGUGGAGAAUAUUGCGCACUGAGCGGGAGCCUGUUACAGCGCCGCCGCGUGCGGGAUACCGGCCUUCGGGUUAUAAACCGCUUUCGCCUGUGACGAGGCGUGAGUGACGGUACUGGGUAAGGAAGCACCGGCUAACUACGUG